rnacentral:rRNA from 1 species
UACGUAGGGUGCGAGCGUUAAUCGGAAUUACUGGGCGUAAAGCGUGCGCAGGCGGUUCGACAAGUCCGAUGUGAAAGCCCCGGGCUCAACCUGGGAACUGCAUUUGUGACUGCACGGCUAGAGUGUGUCAGAGGGGGGUAGAAUUCCACGUGUAGCAGUGAAAUGCGUAGAUAUGUGGAGGAAUACCGAUGGCGAAGGCAGCCCCCUGGGAUAACACUGACGCUCAUGCACGAAAGCGUGGGGAGCAAACAGG